rnacentral:rRNA from 1 species
UCGGGAAUUUUGGGCAAUGGGCGAAAGCCUGACGCAGCAACGCCGCGUGAAGGAUGAAAUCCUUCGGGAUGUAAACUUCGCAAAACUGGGAAGAACAAAAUGACGGUACCAGUUGUAAGCCACGGCUAACUCUGUGCCAGCAGCCGCGGUAAUACAGAGGUGGCAAGCGUUGUUCGGAAUUACUGGGCGUAAAGGGCGCGUAGGCGGCAAUUCAAGUCAUCUGUGAAAUCUCCGGGCUUAACUCGGAACGGUCAGAUGAUACUGCUUUGCUAGAGUGCAGAAGGGGCAAUCGGAAUUCUUGGUGUAGCGGUGAAAUGCGUAGAUAUCAAGAGGAACACCUGAGGUGAAGACGGGUUGCUGGGCUGACACUGACGCUGAGGCGCGAAAGCCAGGGGAGCAAACGGGAUUAGAUACCCCCGUAGUCCCUGAGCGGGCUGGCAAGGCGCAU